CAGGUUAAAUGAACAAUUGAAUAAAAUAAUCAGGGAGAAUCUGAACAAACUAAAGGCAUUAGAGAACGAUAAUUUUCGGAACAGAAGAAAGAGAAAAUCCAAACCAUUUCGAUCCAAUUUGAACUACAGAACUACUGGUUGAAAACAGUAUAUUCUGACUUGAACAAUAUCAUGUUUUCAAUUUGAACUACAGAACUACUGGCUGAAAACAGUAUAUUCUGACUUGAACAGUAUCAUGCUUUCAAUUUAAACUACAGAACUACUGGCUGAAAACAGUACCUUCUGACUUGAACAACAUCAUGUUUUCAAUGUGAACUACAAAACUACUGGCUGAAACAGUAUAUUCUGACUUGAACAAUAUCAUGUUUUCAAUUUAAGCUACAGAACUACUGGCUGAAAACAGUACCUUUUGACUUGAACAACAUCAUGUUUUCAAUUGGAACUACAGAACUACUGGCUGAAAACAGUAUAUUCUGACUUGAACAAUAUCAUGUUUUCAAUUUGAACUUCUGACUUGAACAACAUCAUAUUUUCAAUUGGAACUACAGAACUACUGGCUGAAAACAGUAUAUUCUGACUUGAACAAUAUCAUGUUUUCAAUUUGAACUACAGAACUACAGGCUGAAAACAGUAUAUUCUGACUUGAACAACAUCCUGUUUUCAAUUUGAACUACAAAACUACUGACUGAAAACAGUAGUUUCUGACUUGAACAAUAUCAUGAUUUCAAUUUGAACUACAAAACUACUGGCUGAAAACAGUAGCUUCUGACUUAAAUAAUAUCAUGUUUUUAAAUUCUAUUUUUGGAGAAAAAAUGUACGUAAAAAAUUUUGAACACAAAAUGCUGAAA